rnacentral:ncRNA from 1 species
UUGGAGAGCGGUUGCUUAGCGCAACCCACCGAAGGGGCAAGUGGCACCCGCCACGCAACUCUCAGGUAAAAGGACAAAGGGAG